CAUUAGAUGGCUGAAAGCAAGCAAUGGAAUUUUAAACCAUCUGAUAGUAACUAACGCCUACUUCUAAUG
rnacentral:tRNA from 1 species